UACGUAGGGAGCAAGCGUUGUCCGGAAUCAUUGGGCGUAAAGCGCGCGUAGGCGGCCCUGUAAGUCCGUUGUGAAAGUCAAAGGCUCAACCUUUGAAAGCCGAUGGAUACUGCAGGGCUAGAGUCCGGAAGAGGCGAGUGGAAUUCCUGGUGUAGCGGUGGAAUGCGCAGAUAUCAGGAGGAACACCUAUAGCGAAGGCAGCUCGCUGGGACGGUACUGACGCUAAGGCGCGAAAGCGUGGGGAGCGAACAGG
rnacentral:rRNA from 1 species